UACGUAGGGUGCGAGCGUUUGUCCGGAAUUACUGGGCGUAAAGAGCUCGUAGGUGGUUUGUCGCGUUGUUCGUGAAAACUCACAGCUUAACUGUGGGCGUGCGGGCGAUACGGGCAGACUGGAGUACUGCAGGGGGAGACUGGAAUUCCUGGUGUAGCGGUGGAAUGCGCAGAUAUCAGGAGGAACACCGGUGGCGAAGGCGGGGUCUCUGGGCAGUAACUGACGCUGGAGGAGCGAAAAGCAUGGGGGAGCGAACAGG
rnacentral:rRNA from 1 species